rnacentral:rRNA from 1 species
GGAUGAACGCUGGCGGCGUGCUUAACACAUGCAAGUCGAACGAAGCAUUUAGGACAGAUUACUUCGGUUUGAAGUUCUUUAUAACUGAGUGGCGGACGGGUGAGUAACGCGUGGGUAACCUGCCUUGUACUGGGGGAUAGCAGCUGGAAACGGCUGGUAAUACCGCCUAAGCGCACAAUGUUGCAUGACAUGGUGUGAAAAACUCCGGUGGUAUAAGAUGGACCCGCGUCUGAUUAGCUAGUUGGUGAGAUAACAGCCCACCAAGGCGACGAUCAGUAGCCGACCUGAGAGGGUGACCGGCCACAUUGGGACUGAGACACGGCCCAGACUCCUACGGGAGGCAGCAGUGGGGAAUAUUGCACAAUGGAGGAAACUCUGAUGCAGCGACGCCGCGUGAGUGAAGAAGUAAUUCGUUAUGUAAAGCUCUAUCAGCAGGGAAGAUAGUGACGGUACCUGACGAAGAAGCUCCGGCUAAAUACGUG